GAUGAACGCUGGCGGCGUGCCUAAUACAUGCAAGUCGAGCGAACGGACGAGAAGCUUGCUUCUCUGAUGUUAGCGGCGGACGGGUGAGUAACACGUGGAUAACCUACCUAUAAGACUGGGAUAACUUCGGGAAACCGGAGCUAAUACCGGAUAAUAUUUUGAACCGCAUGGUUCAAAAGUGAAAGACGGUCUUGCUGUCACUUAUAGAUGGAUCCGCGCUGCAUUAGCUAGUUGGUAAGGUAACGGCUUACCAAGGCAACGAUGCAUAGCCGACCUGAGAGGGUGAUCGGCCACACUGGAACUGAGAAACGGUCCAGACUCCUACGGGAGGCAGCAGUAGGGAAUCUUCCGCAAUGGGCGAAAGCCUGACGGAGCAACGCCGCGUGAGUGAUGAAGGUCUUCGGAUCGUAAAACUCUGUUAUUAGGGAAGAACAUAUGUGUAAGUAACUGUGCACAUCUUGACGGUACCUAAUCAGAAAGCCACGGCUAACUACGUG
rnacentral:rRNA from 1 species